GAUGUGGAAACACGUCAUCACCGUGCGCCGCAGCGGGAGCCGGCGCGGGAGCGAAGGGGCGCCGCCAUGGCCGGCAUUCUGUUCGAGGACAUCUUCGAUGUGAAGGACAUCGACCCCGAGGGGAAGAAGUUCGACCGUGUGUCCCGGCUGCACUGCGAGAGCGAGUCGUUCAAGAUGGAUCUGAUCCUGGACGUCAACAUCCAGAUCUACCCCGUGGAUCUCGGGGACAAGUUCCGUCUGGUCAUUGCCAGCACCCUGUAUGAGGAUGGGACGUUGGAUGAUGGGGAGUACAACCCCACUGAUGACCGGCCCUCCAGGGCGGACCAGUUUGAGUACGUGAUGUAUGGCAAGGUGUACAGGAUUGAGGGGGAUGAGACGUCCACAGAGGCAGCCACACGCCUCUCUGCUUAUGUGUCCUAUGGGGGGCUGCUCAUGCGCCUUCAGGGAGACGCAAACAAUCUGCAUGGGUUUGAAGUGGACUCCAGAGUUUACCUGCUGAUGAAGAAGUUGGCCUUCUAGGAGAUGAUGCACCUCAGAGGGCUGCCUGCCCCCAGAGACAUUCUGUUGGAGAGCAGAAAGGACACCAUCACCCCAAAUCCUGCCCCAGCACCUUUGCUGCCCAGUCCCUCCAGUGGUGGUGGAGGAGGGGACUUUCCCCCUUUGUCAUCCCAGUCUUUUCUGACUGUUUCCCUUCUGUGCAGGGGCUGAUGCCUCAUUCUCAGUGGAGACCGUGGGUGCUCUGUGGCCCUGCCUGCUGAUCUCACCUUCCUGCACUUCAAAAGCAGGCUUAGCCCCAGCUCUAACCAGGGGCCGCUGGACUGGGGCACUCACCUGUCUGUGCUAGGGCUGGGCAUCAUUUUCUAAGGAGCUGUUCUGAGACAGAUGUGGCUUCUUAAUUAAACUGCUAUGUGUUUUCUAGAUGUGGUUGUUGUGGCAAGGUUGGCUUCCCAGAAUGCCGGUUGGUAGAUGAAGAUGGGAUGCUCAUGGAGGAUGUUGUGGUAGCAGACAGCAAAGGUACCACAUCAGGGGCACUGGCUUUCAAGCUGCAGCUCCUGGAGGGGCUUGGCCUAGUCUGAGUGAUGCUGUGUGACCCCAGAGCUCAGCACAGUGAAAUUGGCAGGUGGAUACUGGAAGGCAAGGGGCAUUAUUAUCUCACAUCCCCAGCUGAGCCCACCUGCCCUGCAGAGAUGGCAGCCACCACAGGAGGGAGCUGGACACUGGGAAAAUCAGGAGCGUUUGUUCCCCAGCUAUUGCCUCCCCCAGAGACUGGUGUAUGCUCCUUAGGCCAGUGCUACAGCAGGGGGAACAGGAAGACACAAACAAUCCUUUAGAAAAAUAGGUCUUUAAUUGUAAAGCAUUCACAGUCUGAUAGGAGCAGGGCAUGUGCCUCGUGCUGCACAGGUAUGGCUGCUUUUGACCUCUGUGGGCCGUGUGAUAGCCAAAGGCUUGUGGAAAAGGAGCCAACCCUUUCCCCGUGGCACCUUCCUGGGCAUCCAGAGCACGGCUCCUUCUCCUGUGGGAUUGCUCUGACCUUUUAUCAGUGUUAAAUCCCGUGUACAGCUUCAUCAGUCCCUGGACUGGAGGUCCCUGCUUCCCCCCGAUCUCAGUCACACGAGUCCUUAGCCAGGUUGUGGAAGAAGAAGCGCAGCUUGCCCUGCACCAGCUGUCGGUAGGUGAGGAAGAUCUCAGUGACUUCAGUCUGCUCAAUGGAGCGAGGGGAGCAGCCUGGCUCCCAGGGCCCUUCCUGAGGGGCAAGAGUGAGAUGGGGGGGUUACAGAUGCUAUCAUGCCCAGCGGACACGUGCCCUGAAGUUGUCUUUACUCACACAUGGAGGUCUCACCUCCCAGCCGAAUGUCUGUAGGAGCAGGAGGAAGGAGUUGGCGUGUCGAUAGAGCUGGCUCAGCUGCCCGGCCCCGCAUUCCUGGCUCACCUGGCCCUGAGCCUCUGUCACAGCACCCACCAGCAGCACCAGGUUGCACAGGAUCUCACGCCACUUGAUCUCAUCCUGUGGAGCAGUGUGUGUGCUGACCCCACUGGCACAGGGCUGCAGGCCCAUCCUUCCCACGCCCACCCUUGAUACGGAUGGAUCCUCCACCUUAUCCCCACACAACGCUCCUGUGCUGCUGUUCCUACAAGCUUAUUGUUCAGCUUGCUUGGUGACCAUACCCCUCUGCUUACCCAGGGGCUCCCCCUCGAGUCCCACGGGCACCCCAGCACCAUCCUCCCAGCCCCUCUCACCGAUUUGCUUUUCCACUGUCGCAUGUUGAAGUCCACCAAAGGCAGAACCACGGGGCAGCUGAGUGCAGGUAGUGCCUGGCACUCGCUCUGUUGGGGGAGAAGAGCUGCUGCAGUGAGAUGCCAGGAGCUGUUCCCAGCUCUGUCUUGCCAGCGCAGCCUGGUUCUGGGUUUUGGGGGGCACUGCUUCCUCACCACUCUCUUCUCCAUGUCCUUGGCCUCCCCGAUGUACUUCUGGAUAAGUCUCUUGUCGCAGACCGGUCCAAUCGGCCUGGCAUGGCCCUCUUUGACGUGCAGGAGGAAAGAUGUGAGGAGCAGUAGUCCUGGGAAAGAAGGGGAUACUCGUGGGCACCUGACCACCCUCUUCAGAGAGCCCCAGCUCAGGGUGCAAAGUGCCGGGAUUCCUGCUGCGGGGAGCAGCCGUUCACACCCACUCCAACAAGUGCCAAGGGCAGCCGGAGGUGCCAGGCAGCGGGGGAGGACCGGGCAG